rnacentral:rRNA from 1 species
UGGGGAAUAUUGGGCAAUGGGGGAAACCCUGACCCAGCAACGCCGCGUGAAGGAUGAAGGUCUUCGGAUUGUAAACUUCUUUGAUCAGGGACGAAGAAAUGACGGUACCUGAAGAACAAGCCACGGCUAACUACGUGCCAGCAGCCGCGGUAAUACGUAGGUGGCAAGCGUUAUCCGGAUUUACUGGGUGUAAAGGGCGUGUAGGCGGUUCUGCAAGUCAGAUGUGAAAUUCCCGGGCUUAACCCGGGCGCUGCAUCUGAAACUGCAGAACUUGAGUACUGGAGAGGAUAGUGGAAUUCCUAGUGUAGCGGUAAAAUGCGUAGAUAUUAGGAGGAACACCAGUGGCGAAGGCGGCUAUCUGGACAGUAACUGACGCUGAGGCGCGAAAGCGUGGGGAGCAAACA